GGGGUCGUAGUGUAGCCUGGUUUAACACGCCUGCCUGUCACGCAGGAGAUCGCGAGUUCAAAUCUCGUCGACCCCGCCA
rnacentral:tRNA from 1 species